GACGAACGCUGGCGGCGUGCUUAACACAUGCAAGUCGAACGGAAAGGCCCUGCUUUUGUGGGGUGCUCGAGUGGCGAACGGGUGAGUAACACGUGAGUAACCUGCCCUUGACUGUGGGAUAACUUCAGGAAACUGGGGCUAAUACCGGAUAGGAGCUCCUGCUGCAUGGUGGGGGUUGGAAAGUUUCGGCGGUUGGGGAUGGACUCGCGGCUUAUCAGCUUGUUGGUGGGGUAGUGGCUUACCAAGGCUUUGACGGGUAGCCGGCCUGAGCGGGUGACCGGCCACAUUGGGACUGAGCUACGGCCCAGACUCCUACGGGAGGCAGCAGUGGGGAAUAUUGCACUAUGGGCGGAAGCCUGAUGCAGCAACGCCGCGUGCGGGAUGACGGCCUUCGGGUUGUAAACCGCUUUCGCCUGUGACGAAGCGUGAGUGACGGUAAUGGGUAAAGAAGCACCGGCUAACUACGUG
rnacentral:rRNA from 1 species